rnacentral:rRNA from 1 species
GACGAACGCUGGCGGCGUGCUUAACACAUGCAAGUCGAACGGAAAGGCCCUGCUUGCUGGGUACUCGAGUGGCGAACGGGUGAGUAACACGUGGGUGAUCCGCCCUGCACUUCGGGAUAUGCCUGGGAAACUGGGUCUAACACAGGAUAGGAGCCACUUACAGUGUGAUGGUUGGAAAGUUUUUUCGGUGUCGUAUGAGCUCGCGGCCUAUCAGCUUGUUGGUGGGGUAAUGGCCUACCAAGGCGGCGACGGGUAGCCGGCCUGAGAGGGUGGACGGCCACAGUGGGACUGGGAUACGGCCCAGACACCGACGGGAGGCAGCAGUGGGGAAUAUUGCACAAUGGGCGCAAGCCUGAUGCAGCGACGCCGCGUGGGGGAUGACGGCCUUCGGGUUGUAAACUCCUGUCACUAGGGACGAAGCUUUUUGUGACGGUACCUAGAGAAGAAGCACCGGCUAACUACGUG